rnacentral:lncRNA from 1 species
GCGAGUCGCCUUCCUUCUCGGACUCCCUUCAUCUUUUGUUAGUGGGUACAUCCGAUGAAGCACUUAGUUUUUGUCCAAUUCGUUCUUUCUUGCUCACUCUGCAUACAUUUGCUUCUGCAUACUCAGGAGGGUCGUCAGUAAGGAGCAGCUGAUCCCGAUGUUGGUGUGGAGAGCGGCCUUCAGGACAGGGAUAAGCCAGUGACUGUCCUGUCUUGCCCUUGGGUUACUCUUGGCUGAGGUGAUGGGAAUACAAUAGAGGGGUGGGGGAAGAUGGUCCCAGAUCCAACCUUUAGCUACUGAGGCAGCGUCUGUGAGAGUGGAUUUUCCUUUAGGAGGACAGUUUAGAUGAGGAAACGAGCAGGGGAGGAAGAAAAUAUAUUAAAAGGUGAAGAGGUGAGAAGGAAUCUUGUCUGUUGCUGGAUGAGGCGUGUGGUGCUUGGGCGGCAGUGUUGGUCAGCACACGUCUGUAGCUGUUCUCGGGUGUCCUGAGGGGGGACCUCUAGAACUGCUCUGGCAUUGAGUACGCAGCACAGAGGGAUUGCACCCAUUCUCUUACAGGCAGUUUCAGUCCGGUCUCAGUGUCCGAGGACGGUAGGAACAAACAGCACAUGCCUGGCAGGUUGUUGCCUCGAGCUAGUUCUUUACCUCAGAGAUAUUCUGAAGCGGCCCACAGCAUUGGGAUAUUUCUCUUUGUUCAUUUCUGGUUGAAAUGACUUAAGUGCCUUCCUGACACCCUCACCACCUCCUUUGACUUGUGUAAUGGAAUUAAAUGUGCUUUCCAAAAGAACUGGCCAAAGGCUACCCGG